AAUGUAGUGUAAACAGCAGUCUGUGGCUCCUCCCUCACUCCUCCCUCUCGUUUAAAACUGUCACAUACGCAACCAGGAUGGCUGCGCCCGUAAUGGCACACUCAACGAUUCAUAGCAGAUCUCCAUAAACUAAGGGGUGACGUCCCACAUGCUCUGUCCAAUAACAUUAACAGUCUAUAAUUAUAACACAUA